UACGGGGGGGGCAGGCGUUGUUCGGAAUUACUGGGCGUAAAGGGCUCGUAGGCGGCCAACUAAGUCGGACGUGAAAUCCCUCGGCUUAACCGGGGAACUGCGUCUGAUACUGGUUGGCUUGAAUCCGGGAGAGGGAUGUGGAAUUCCAGGUGUAGCGGUGAAAUGCGUAGAUAUCGGGAGGAACACCAGUGGCGAAGGCGACUACCUGGCCUGUUCUUGACGCUGAGGCGCGAAAGCUAGGGGAGCAAACGGG
rnacentral:rRNA from 1 species